rnacentral:misc_RNA from 1 species
UAAACUUUCCAUCUACAGCUCCUGCCAAUGCAUCUGAUAUUUCAGGCAUUCUACCCGAGCGCUCCUCAGGAAUGCAGUAGAACUAGGACAUGUUUGUUGGCGGCUAUAUUUAACGUCAUAAAUUUUGCAUCCAUGGUCACUUCACAGUACAGAUACACAAGACCCAGUGUUAUAUUACAGGUAGAUAGGGAAAGACCGCCGUUCUUUCUUCUGUAAAUUCCAGUCCAAAGUGAUGCUCAACUCCCAUCUCACACGCAUCAGUUUGGCACACUACUUCAAUGUGACCAAGAAGUAGCCUCUGAGUUUUGUUAUUAUAGUAGG